CGUCUUCGCGUAUCAGAGGCUUCUGCUUCUUCUUCUUCUUCUUCUUAGAA
rnacentral:sRNA from 1 species